GUUAAGUAGAUGAUCUAGUAUGCUACUUGAACUUUAAGGGGGGCCUUAACUGUCUUAACUUAAAAUAGUAAGUGUGUGAAAAUUGUAGGCAACUUUAUGUAGAUAUAUGCCUGCCAGAUAAUAUCACUCUUUCCUUCUCACACAUAUUCUAACUGGGCAGCAUGCCUCCAACUGUGUUCCACCCUGCAAGGCCUGGGCUCCCCAUGUUAAGAUUAGUUCUCUAAUUUGGCAGCUUAAAACAACACAAAUGUAUUAUCUUACAGUUCUGGAGGUUAGAGUUCCAGAAUGAAUUUCACUGGGCUAAAAUCAAGGUGCGGGUAGGGCUGGGGUUUUUUUUGUUGUUGUUGUUGUUGGUUUUUUUUUUUUUUUUUUUUUUUUUUUUUUUUUUUUUUUUUUUGAGGCUUUAGAAGAUAAUCCACUUAUUUGCCUCUUUCAGCCUCUGGAGGACCCUUCAUCGCUUGGCUUAUGGCCCUCUUCAUCCAUCUUCAAAGCCAGGAACAUUGCAUUUACCUGAACAUUCUUCUAUAGUCUCAUCUCCCUCUAGCCAUAGCCGAGAAAUGUUCUUCACUUUGAAGAAACCAUAUGGGUUGAAUUGUGGCCCCUCAAAAGCAAUUUAUGCAGAUGAAGUCCCAACUCUGGCCAUGGCCAAUAUUAGCUGGAUAAUUCUUUGAAUCUGGCUAAUGUGGAAUCUUGCAAGGACAAAGAGGAUUUGCUCAUGAACUGGUAAGAGAGGUACUGGUCAUGCAUGCUUAAAUGUGCUAAUAGUUCUGGUCUUUAAUGGUACCGACUUAAUGAAGAUGAUGUUAUGCAUUUUUAAUUGUUCGCCUAUGAUUCGACAUUAGCCAUGCCUUUCUAAUAUGAAGAUUUGUUGGCCAGAACUGACAUUAGCUGAAAGUGGAUCCUUAACUUGUCAGUUCCUCCCACAUCUUCCUUGCCUUUGUUUUCCCUAGUGCCUUUCAACUGAAUUGAUGAGCCCUAUUUGCAGACCCAGAUCACCCCCUAACCCUUUCCUAAAUCAAUGUUUAAAAUGGCAGAAAAUAUAUCAACAACCUCAGACUAAUUUAACAGGGCUUGAAACACUGAGCCGGGAGUGAGCUUUGUGCGUUCAUUACACCCCUGAAUUGCAGUGCUCCUCGCCCCCUUUCUAGGUUACUUUUGCUCUGUUCUCCCACUGUGCAGUUUGGUAAUUUGGCCUUGUUUCCCUCUAGGACUAACUCCCCAUGCAGAACCUUGCCUAACUCCUGCCAAACUUUUCUUCCUAGACUCUGCCCUAGCCCAUUUCUUUGAUACCUUAUCAGUUGGCAAGAUAUGGACAUAUCAUGAUGAUGAUGCACACUGUGCUUCACUUCUGGGUUGAAACCUUUCUGGAAGUUCUUGUUACUGAGUUGGCUCUCCUCCCUCUGACUAUUAUUUGAGGCUAUAAACACUGCUCUAGGCAUUCCCAACUGUCCUGGCUGAGAUCCUGCUCUGCAAACUGUGGUCAGAUUCCCUCAAAACCUAUUCUAGUUAAUGGGUCUUUGCUUGGUCCAACUUCCUCUCCCCUCAUGCAUUGUGGCUGAAUCCAUCUAUGAUUUGUCUUUGUAGUUGAUGUGAGGGCUUCUGCAAAAAGCUCUAUCUCCAAAGUCUCCAUCUGUGAU
ensembl:lincRNA